CCUACGGGAGGCAGCAGUGAGGAAUAUUGGUCAAUGGACGAGAGUCUGAACCAGCCAAGUAGCGUGAAGGAUGACUGCCCUAUGGGUUGUAAACUUCUUUUAUAUGGGAAUAAAAUGUUCCACGUGUGGGCUUUUGUAUGUACCAUAUGAAUAAGGAUCGGCUAACUCCGUGCCAGCAGCCGCGGUAAUACGGAGGAUCCGAGCGUUAUCCGGAUUUAUUGGGUUUAAAGGGGGCGUAGGUGGAUGGUUAAGUCAGUUGUGAAAGUUUGCGGCUCAACCGUAAAAUUGCAGUUGAAACUGGCAGUCUUGAGUACAGUAGAGGUGGGCGGAAUUCGUGGUGUAGCGGUGAAAUGCUUAGAUAUCACGAAGAACUCCGAUUGCGAAGGCAGCUCACUGGACUGCAACUGACACUGAGGCUCGAAAGUGUGGGUAUCAAACAGGAUUAGAUACCCGGGUAGUC
rnacentral:rRNA from 1 species